rnacentral:rRNA from 1 species
UAGGGAAUCUUCGGCAAUGGACGAAAGUCUGACCGAGCAACGCCGCGUGAGUGAAGAAGGUUUUCGGAUCGUAAAACUCUGUUGUUAGAGAAGAACAAGGACGUUAGUAACUGAACGUCCCCUGACGGUAUCUAACCAGAAAGCCACGGCUAACUACGUGCCAGCAGCCGCGGUAAUACGUAGGUGGCAAGCGUUGUCCGGAUUUAUUGGGCGUAAAGCGAGCGCAGGCGGUUUCUUAAGUCUGAUGUGAAAGCCCCCGGCUCAACCGGGGAGGGUCAUUGGAAACUGGGAGACUUGAGUGCAGAAGAGGAGAGUGGAAUUCCAUGUGUAGCGGUGAAAUGCGUAGAUAUAUGGAGGAACACCAGUGGCGAAGGCGGCUCUCUGGUCUGUAACUGACGCUAAGGCUCGAAAGCGUGGGGAACAAACAGG